rnacentral:rRNA from 1 species
UACGUAGGGUGCAAGCGUUGUCCGGAAUUAUUGGGCGUAAAGGGCGCGUAGGCGGCUUGGCAAGUGGAUGGUGAAAUCCCUCGGCUUAACCGAGGAACUGCCGUCCAAACUGCUUCGCUUGAGACCGGGAGAGGUGAGUGGAAUUCCCAGUGUAGCGGUGAAAUGCGUAGAUAUUGGGAGGAACACCAGUGGCGAAGGCGGCUCACUGGACCGGUACUGACGCUGAGGCGCGAAAGCGUGGGGAGCAAACGGG